AUACGGAGGAUGCGAGCGUUAUCCGGAUUUAUUGGGUUUAAAGGGUGCGUAGGCUGUGCGUUAAGUCAGGGGUGAAAUGCCGUCGCUCAACGACGGAGCUGCCCUUGAUACUGGCGUGCUGGAGUACGGAUGCCGUUGGAGGAAUGAGUGGUGUAGCGGUGAAAUGCUUAGAUAUCACUCAGAACACCGAUUGCGAAGGCAUCUGACGAAUCCGUCACUGACGCUGAGGCACGAAAGCGUGGGGAUAGAACAGGAUUAGAUACCCUGGUAUUCCACGCCGUAGACGAUGAUGACUAACCGUCGGCGAUAGACAGCCGGUGGCCAAGCGAAAGCGAUAAGUCAUCCACCUGGGGAGUACGUCGGCAACGAUGAAACUCAAAGGAAUUGACGGGG
rnacentral:rRNA from 1 species